rnacentral:rRNA from 1 species
GUCUACGGCCAUACCACCCUGAAUGUGCCCGAUCUCAUCUGAUCUCGGAAGCUAAGCAGGGUCGGGCCUGGUUAGUACUUGGAUGGGAGAAGACAGACAUUAAGACU